rnacentral:rRNA from 1 species
GCCUACGGGGGGCAGCAGUAGGGAAUUUUCCACAAUGGGCGAAAGCCUGAUGGAGCAACGCCGCGUGGGUGAAGAAGGUCUUCGGAUCGUAAAACCCUGUUGUUAGAGAAGAAAGUGCGUGAGAGUAACUGUUCACGUUUCGACGAUAUCUAACCAGGAAGCCACGGCUAACUACGUGCCAGCAGCCGCGGUAAUACGUAGGUGGCAAGCGUUAUCCGGAUUUAUUGGGCGUAAAGGGAACGCAGGCGGUCUUUUAAGUCUGAUGUGAAAGCCUUUGGCUUAACCGGAGUAGUGCAUUGGAAACU